rnacentral:rRNA from 1 species
AGUGAACGCUGGCGGUAGGCCUAACACAUGCAAGUCGAACGGCAGCACACUAAGAGCUUGCUAUUACUGGUGGCGAGUGGCGGACGGGUGAGGAAUACAUCGGAAUCUACUUUUUCGUUGGGGAUAACGUUGGGAAACUUACGCUAAUACCGCAUACGACCUACGGGUGACAGCAGGGGCUCUUCGGACCUUGCGCGAUUGAAUGAGCCGAUGUCGGAUUAGCUAGUUGGCGGGGUAAAGGCCCACCAAGGCGACGAUCCGUAGCUGGUCUGAGAGGAUGAUCAGCCACACUGGAACUGAGACACGGUCCAGACUCCUACGGGAGGCAGCAGUGGGGAAUAUUGGACAAUGGGCGCAAGCCUGAUCCAGCCAUACCGCGUGGGUGAAGAAGGCCUUCGGGUUGUAAAGCCCUUUUGUUGGGAAAGAAAAGCAGCAGGUUAAUACCCCGCUGUUCUGACGGUACCCAAAGAAUAAGCACCGGCUAACUUCGUG